AUCUCUCAUAAUUGAGACAACUUUCAAGCAUAAAUUCUGUUAAUAAUGCUCCAAUUUGCUCACCCCAGAGGCUGGGAAGGAGGAGAACCCAGAAAUAGAACAUAAAAAAUAAAUGUGUUCUGGCCACUGAAGCCAGUGUUGGCACAUCUUUGCAUGGAUCACUCUGGACAGGGGAAGUCAUCUAAUCAAGAACAGGCUAGCAUGGACAAAAGCUGGCUCAGCUUCCAGGCAGCUCCACCCAGGCUGGAGGCAUCCUCCUGUGUCCUGGUGGAUUACAACGUUCCCAACAAUUAAGUCACCUGACUAUAUAGUGCUGAUAUUGGCAACCACCCAAAGGAAAACAGAAAGUUUAACAUGAUUAAAGAAGGUCCGAAUGAUGAUGGCACAGUAAGUUUUCUUUGUGUGUCUUACAGUGAACAGUGCAGCAAAGCAGAGAGUUUCAGGGACCAGAGAUCAAUCUGCUGUGUGGACACUGCUGUCAAAACAGCUCUUUAAUCACUUUGCCAGCAGUCAGGCUGGUUUUUCAUCAUUGUGUAUGAAGAUCUGAUGUUCACAGUCUGCUGCAAUCCCCAAAGAGAGCAAUUGCAUCCAGCUGAGGUUCCAGAACUACAGGGCAUAAAGGGACCAGAUAUCCACAGCCCUUGGGCACUGAACAGUGCCUCUGUCUUCCAAGUAGGAGGAACUCUGGUUGAGACCUACCCACAGCCAGCUGUGGAGAGACACAUCAGCCAGAGGCUUGUGAGCUCUUGGAACAUUAGGAGGGGUUGGAAGGGGUCUAGAUCAACAAGGCCUGGACUCCCAUGGCUAUGUCCAACCACAGCUUGAAGGUGGAUCUACCCUCUAGAAUGGGGACAGAUGAAGAUCUGGAUCUUAUGACACAUCAAGCACGUGUCAGACUUACAUCUGCUGACUGAGCUGCUUUUCUUGGGGAUGGAUAAGGAAAGAAAGUGCUUAUGAGUACAGGAGGAAGAGAAGGAAAUGAAUGUAAUCACUGGCAUACUUAAGGGUUGGUUUUUUUGUUUGUUUGUUUGGGUUUUUUUUGCCUUCCUUAUGCAUCUUCCUGAAUAAAGGUACUUUCUGGAGGCUCAAAUUUAGUUGUUAGGCAAUAUACAGUGAAGAAUGAAACAUCUCCAUUUCAGGUUUUAAUUUCAAGGUGCGGUACCAAAGUUCUCAGACUGUCUUCCUUUGACACGAGUGGAAAGUUUUGCUGAAGAAAAGACUUCUGCUUUCAGUCAUGCUAUUGAGGGGCCUGGAUUACAGCUUCUUUGUUUAAGAAUGCAUCACAAAUCAGAGAAAAGACUCUGUGAAGGAACCUCUCAGUGAAGCACUGGUUUGUAUCACAGAAUUGUAGGGGCUGGAAGGGACCUCUAGAGAUCAUCUAACAUAUUUGAGGCAGUGAUGGAACUUAAAUCCCAGAAGUUCCUCAUUUAAUCAGGAGUCACCCCUUUCAUUGCCACACUGUGGAAGAACCUCCCCACUUAAUCCCCUAAGACUGAGCGUGGGUUGGAAAUACAAGCCCAAUCUUACCGGAAAACCAGGUUUCCCAAGUCCAAGACAAGAACUGGUCCUGUCAGGUCUCCCCUUCUUUUUGCCUCUUAUCUGGGGGGUAGAUGAGCCACAUGCACAUUUUUUUCUUUAAUACUGCACGCCAAGGCUAUUUGUGUCCAGCUUUGUGACCAGACCUUUACUCUUCAGCAUCAGGAAAUAUCUCACUGUUCCUCUUUCAUUUGCAGCAGGGAAGAAGUCCUCACCCCAAGGGCAGGAGAAGACCUGCACACAUACCAGUGCAGCACAAGGAAAGAGGGAUAGAUUACUUUUCUCUUAAGAAAGAUGUAUGAUGAAGGCCAGAGAAGAGCCCAAUGGGAGCAUCUGCCAUUGGAUAUGCAAAUGUAAGAGCCAGUCUAUUUGAAGUUUGGCAACACUAAAGUAAGUAGGGAUCUGCCUCUUUCAGUGUUCCUGUGGACACAAGUGCAAGCAGAUAUUUGGAGGUUGUGUAUGAGUACUGAUUGGAUCCUGUAUUUUCACUUUGGUGCUGAAGCUGCUGCUAUGAGUUCUUAGGCUGCCUGAGCACAACCUCAGAAGUGCUAUUGGUCUGAAGGCUUUUAUGACUAGAGUGUUUUAUCUUCCUCAUUUUCACCGAUGCAACAGAGAUCCAAAAGUACAGUGAGACUUCAGAGGGCACUGUGUUGUCUGUAGUACUUUAAAGAAACAACAUGCUUUUUGAAAGUGGUCUAGAGUCACUGCAGCACCUGGGCUGCUUUUGGUACCAGCAUGGAAGCAGGAAACUGUUCAGCUCAGCACCAGCGACCAGUCUAAAACAGUCUUGCAGCCACUUCAAGCAUUUUGGUUUCGUGCAGAACUGAAGAGUCAGAGAACAGGGAGACAGCUGUGCUGUCAUGGAGUAUAGGUGAAGAGCCCAGAUCUGAACUCCUCAGCCACAGAGGUAGAGUCCUCUCAUUGGAAGGGGCUCAUUGGAAAUUAACUACUGCUAGGGAUCCAUUUGGACCUCCUUGGUAAAGAAUAGCACCAAAGUUCUGUUACAUCUAUGAACACUUGAAGUAGGUAGAUAGGUUCAGGACUGCAUUGAAAAAAGAACCAACAGACGGUUGGAUUGGAUGAUCUUGUAAGUCUUUUCUAACCUUGGUGAUUUUAUGAUUUUAUGAGAAGAAAACAAGUGAUGUGAUGUGAUCAUUGAUCCAAGGAGACCUUACAGCAUGUUUCCAGUACCUAAAGAGACUACAUGAAAAUAAUAGGACCACAAGUAGUGGCUUUAAACUAAAAGAAGGUGGGUUUAGAUUGGAUGUUAGGAGGAAGCUCUUCACUGAAAGGACAGCGAGGCCCCAGCACUGCUGCCCAGAGAGCUGUGGGUGCCCCAUCCCUGGAGAUCAUAGAAUCAUAGAAUCACAAGGUUGGAAACAACCUAUAAGAUCAUCUACUCCAACCGUCUUCUCACUACCACUGCUACCACAAACUAAACCAUAUCUUGCAGCUCCUCAUCCAGGCGCCUCUUGAACACUGCCAGGGAUGGUGACUCCACCACCUCCCUGGGCAGCCAUUCCAGUGCCUGACCACUCUUUGAGAGAAAAAGUUUUUCCUCAUGUCUAACCUAAACCUCCUCUGGUACAACUUGCGGCCGUUUCCUCGGGUCCUGGUUGUUGCCUGGGAGAAGAGGCCAAACCCCUCCUCAUCACAACCUCCCUUCAGGAAGUUGUAGAGGGCAGUGAUGUUCAACGAUGUGCAAUGGUGCUCAGGUCCAGGCUGGACGGGUCCCCGGGCAGCCCGAGAUGGGGGAGGCGUCCCUGCCCACGGCCGCGGUC
rnacentral:lncRNA from 1 species